rnacentral:rRNA from 1 species
UACGGAGGGUGCAAGCGUUAAUCGGAAUUACUGGGCGUAAAGCGCACGCAGGUGGCUGAGUCAGUCGAUUGUGAAAGCCCUGGGCUUAACCUGGGAAUUGCAGUCGAUACUACUCAGCUAGAGUAUGGGAGAGGGUAGUGGAAUUCCCGGUGUAGCGGUGAAAUGCGUAGAUAUCGGGGAGGAACAUCAGUGGCGAAGGCGGCUACCUGGCCCAAUACUGACACUCAGGUGCGACAGCGUGGGGAGCAAACAGG